rnacentral:rRNA from 1 species
GGGGCUAGGCGGGCUAGGCGCGGCCUAGGGGAGGGGGGGUGGCGCCCGUGGGCGGCGUCUACCCGCAGCCGGCGUGGUCGGCGCCGCCCGGGAGGUGGCGCCCGGCCGGGAUGAAGGGCGGCUAGAGGCGCGGCGGCCGGAGGAGGAGGGGGAGGGGCGGGAGGGGCGGCCGCGGGGGGCAGCUCUGCCGGAGGUGCAGGCAGUGGUUCUGGCAGUUGCCCAGCGUGGUGAAGUUCUAGCGGCCGAUGAGCGAGCGGUUCCCCUAGCCCCAGCCGUUCAUGUAGCGGAGGCUCAGGAAGUGGCAGCCGCCGAAGCUCACCCGGUAGAUGAAGAUGGGGCUGCCGUUCUCGCGGCUCCUGCCGCGGCGGAUGCAGAGAGAGAAGUAGCGCGAGCGGUCGCUCCCGUGGCUGCACGCGCGCGAGAAGCUCGAGUGCGAGCAGCUGGUCUCGCCGUUCCCGGUCCUGUUCCACGUGUGGGUGAAGCCCUCCAGCGAGCUCCCGCCCGGGAUGUGCGAGUUCAUGGCCCCGUCGUACACCCCAAUGUUUGCCAAGAAGUUUGCAAGACCGGACCUUUGUAGUCUAAUAGAGUUUCUACUAACGGAAGACCAUUUGACGUGGCAACCACAACAAGUCAGUGUAUGACUUCCCGGUUUCUAUAUGUCCUAUGGUCACGGUGUCAGACUGUACAGAGUCGUAUAACCCGUAAACAACUGGUCACCCUUCUCUUGGCUAUAUUGUAAACUUCAACUACUUCUCUACAAAGGACGAGUGUUCCACCAAGAACGUCGGGCUAGUGGUCAAAAAUCCCGUGUUGAGAAACCAGGGUACUUCCUAUUUUUGUACUUCACGUAUUUCUAACUUCUGUACCUCCGAGGUCACAAGUUCCGGAACGAGGUAAAAUACAUGACCCUACUCAACGGGUUGUAUCUUCUCGAAUGACCAAAUUUAUGCUGAACCCAAAGGUGAAACUACCGAGUCGUAAACGAACGUCGACGACUGGCCAUACGUAACCUCUCUGAUUUCGACGAAAGACUUGAGUUCGAUACACUUCUACAACGCUAUUUGUGUCAACGUUUAUGAAACCGCGACCGACUUGUCGUGGUAACGGUGGUCGAUUUUUGACAAACGAACUUUAAGCACCGGAGCGGCCUUUUAAACUUUCGACAGUACGUUUGACUUCCUAAGCUAAUAAACGUCGUUUCGACGGGAAGAGAGGACUGACUCGAAGACCUCAUACAACGCUUCCAUCCUCUGGUACGACACGGGGGGACGAAUAUAAGGUUACUUCACGACCUACCACCGCUACGGUUACCUUCUGCGCACUUUGGUUCUGAAAUUGACGAGGGGUCCAGUCGGAUCUUCCUCAAAGUACCGACAACACGACAUUUCACAAGGAUAUUGUCGUACGUACACCGUACAACAUCACACAUAGCCACAAACAGAACACUAAGACUAGAAGUAGAAGUAGGAGUCGGCACUACGAUCAGACCUCGAGCAACAACGACUAUAUAUAAGUUGACUGACCGGAUGUUAACGUAAACGACGCUUCGAGACAAUGAAACGUCGGACACCAGUAUUCACGUGUGUAUGUGUCCACCGCGCCGCUUCCAACCGACUGGACUGGCCAUGUUCCAAACUAGUUCGUCUUUAUUUUCGCGUCCUACACAAGUGUCAACCACACACGAUCCAGUCGGAACAGCUAAGGAUCAGCAGACGUACUGAUGAACAUAACUUAACUUUACUACAUUGGGUUACUCUAGAUAAACUAAACUUACGGAUACAAAUUUCAAGAACACAAACGAAAACAGGAUGGCUCAGG